GGCGAACGCUGGCGGCAGGCUUAACACAUGCAAGUCGAGCGCCCGUAGCAAUACGGGAGCGGCAGACGGGAGAGUAACACGUGGGAACAUGCCCUUCGGUUCGGAAUAACUCAGGGAAACUUGAGCUAAUACCGGAUACGUCCGUAAGGAGAAAGAUUUAUCGCCGAAGGAUUGGCCCGCGUCCGAUUAGCUUGUUGGUGAGGUAAUGGCUCACCAAGGCGACGAUCGGUAGCGGUCUGAGAGGAUGAUCAGCCUCACUGGGACUGAGACACGGCCCAGACUCCUACGGGAGGCAGCAGUGGGGAAUAUUGGACAAUGGGCGAAAGCCUGAUCCAGCCAUGCCGCGUGGGUGAUGAAGGCCUUAGGGUUGUAAAGCCCUUUCGGCGGGGAAGAUAAUGACGGUACCCGNAGAAGAAGCCCCGGCUAACUUCGUGCCAG
rnacentral:rRNA from 1 species